AAAUGCGAUAAGUAAUGUGAAUUGCAGAAUUCAGUGAAUCAUCGAAUCUUUGAACGCACCUUGCGCUCCUUGGUAUUCCUUGGAGCAUGCCUGUUUGAGUAUCAUGAAAUCUUCAAAGUAAAUCUUUUGUUAACUCAAUUGGUUUCUACUUUGGUAUUGGAGGUCUUUGCAGCUUCACACCUGCUCCUCUUUGUUCAUUAGCUGGAUCUCAGUGUUAUGCUUGGUUCCACUCGGCGUGAUAAGUUAUCUAUCGCUGAGGACACUGUAAAAGGUGGCCAAGGUAGAUGCAGAUGAACCGCUUCUAAUAGUCCAUUGACUUGGACAAUACUUUUAUGAUCUGAUCUCAAAUCAGGUAGGACUACCCGCUGAACUUAAGC
rnacentral:misc_RNA from 1 species